UACAAGUGUUUUGUAGUCUUCUCGAUGUC
rnacentral:piRNA from 1 species